rnacentral:rRNA from 1 species
AGAGAUAAAGCGGAGGUAUUCGGGGAGACAGGUGGUGCAUGGUUGUCGUCAGCUCGUGUCGUGAGAUGUGGGUUAAGUCCCGCAACGAGCGCAACCCCUAUUGCUAGUUACCAUCAUUAAGUUGGGGACUCUAGCGAGACUGCCAGUGAUAAACUGGAGGAAGGUGGGGAUGACGUCAAAUCAUCAUGCCCCUUAUGACCUGGGCUACAAACGUGAUACAAUGGCUGGAACAAAGGGAUGCGAAGCAGUGAUGUGGAGCGAAACCCAUAAAAACAGUCUCAGUUCGGAUUGAAGUCUGCAACUCGACUUCAUGAAGUCGGAAUCGCUAGUAAUCGCGGAUCAGAACGCCGCGGUGAAUACGUUCUCGGGGUUU